CCAGUGGUUCUCAAAUGCAUAUAAAUUGAAUUGAAGACGUUAGGUAGGCAAUAAAUUUGUAAUGCGUGAUGUGAGGCGCAAAAAAAAAAAUUUUGUUUAAGUAGUAACAUGUCACAGUAACUAGCCGAAACAGUGUUUUUUUGGACCCCGAUUAUAAAUAGACGUUUAUGGAUUUGAAAAAUUGUAUUUUACCAAAAACUUAACCUGACCUAACAAAACCAUUUUUGUUAAUAGUGCCAUGGAAAUUCUAAAGAUGUUAAGUAGCAUUGAUAUUACUAAUCUAGUUGAUGAAAUAAUAAAUAAGUGGCCAUCAGAUAUUGAAUUAGAACCUCAACAAAGGGAUUUUCAAACGAUUUAUCGAUACAAGGAUUCUAGAUUCUUAUCUCGGUUUAAGUAUAUUGCUGUUCAGGUUAAAGAAUCACUGGAAAAUGUGAAUGAAACCGAAAAUAACGAAUUUUACUGCAUUGAUUUUCACAAUAAUUUAAUGGGGUCUAUUAUUCCUGUAAUACCUAUAUGGACAGGUAUGAUGCGUUUCAAAAUAUUGAAUACUACAGAAAGAGCGAGUAAUGCUCCGGUAAAAAGUUAGUUAGGAGAUUUGAAAUAAACGGUUAAAAUGUGGUCAAUUUGUGAAAUUGACUAGAUAGACAAUCUUAAGUAGAUGUAAAGAAGUACUUAUGGAUAUACCUUCAAACUAUUGUGUAAAGGGUCAAAAGCCAAAAAAAUUAAACAACAAAGAAAGAAUAAACUGAAAUAACAUGAAUAAUUAAGUUGAUUUCUUUGGACAAAGAAGAGGAAAGUGAACACUGGCAACCGAGGAAAAACAAAAAAGUUUCUAUUUUAAAGGUCACCUAAAGGCAGUAUUUAAACAAUUCAAAGAAAAACUAAAAGUGAAUAACUCGCCAACUACAGUAACUGAAGAAAUCAAUCUAAAGGUGAGGGUAAAAGAUAUCGAGUAUUCUAAUCAAAUGGAUUAUUUUAACGGCAGAGUUUAUUGUUUAUAUUAUACUGAAUGCAUGAUAAGAAGCCGAAAAAUAUAUUUUUUUUGAUACUAAUUUCAAUCCAAUAGUGUAUAUUGUAUAGAAUAAAACUGAAAAAGAUGCUUUUAGAAACCUCUGAUUUUAUGAGAGAUAUUUAUUUAUACUGUUAAAAUUCAGAUUCAGAGCAUAAAAAAAUUAAACCAAAUAAUUUGAAUUGGAUUUCAGUGGUACUUUGAAUGCUUGUGUAAGUUCUAUAUGGAGAGGUAUGUUUCAUAUUAUAAGUAAUUCUAUUUUAAAAUUAUUUAUAAUUGAAUGAUUUUAAUAUGUAUUGUUUUACUCUAUUUUAAACCUUGUUUUGUUUUUAUUUGUAAUUACAUGUUUUUUUUAAUAUGAAAGAUAAUAUAUACAAAUUAUUAAAUAAGUAGAUUAGGCCAAUGCAGUACCUCAGAGUUUUGAAACUAAAGUGGUGAGGAAAUCUGCAUGAUGUUUGAUGUAUCAUUAAUACUGAUAACAUAAUUUAAACGAGAGAAUGAGAUAAUUAUUUAGUUAGUUGGUGAAAUAAUAGGAAGAAAACUGAAAAGUAUAAUUAUAUCUGAUCACAAAUGUAUUAUUAUCUACAAAAAUAAAUAAUAAAAUUAGGUAAAAAGACAUUAGUAUUUAUUAUUAUAUUGUAAAAGUAAAAAGUGAAAUUUGAAUUUUUCAGAUGACAAUCAAGCAAUAAUUUUAUUAACCUAUGCAAAUUAUUCAUACAAACUAUAGAAGUAUUUAAGAUAAAAAUUUGAACUGGUAUUCCUAAAACAAAUAAAUAAAUAAAUGUAUAAUAGGUAGGUAUUUAUAUUUUACAUACAUAGUUUGAAUUAAGAACAAACAACAAUAAGUAAUAUUGAUUUACUUUUUGAUAAAUUAGUGAAAUGGUGCUGGAAAGUGUAACAAGUUCAAUUAUUUUUGUAAUGAUUUUCAAUACCUAUUAUAUGUUGUAUUUAAAUGUAGGUAUCUUAUUAUAGAAUUCAUUUUUUGUUUAGGUAAAAACCUAUCUCUCUGUUAAAUAACUAAAAUAAAUAAAUAAAUAAAAUACAUACAACAUAUAUACAUAAACAUUGGUGUAGAAGUCCCUAUAAAUCAUUAAUUUUAAUCAUUUUAGAAUAAUGAAGAAUAAUUUAUAGUGGUUUAAUAAGUAGGUAUUAUAUUUGUAUAGGUAUUUAUUUAUUUAUUUGAUCUUCAAAACAUUUUGUAUAAGUAUUACAAUUGUAUAAACAUAUUCAAUAUACUAAUAUACUUGUUGAUACCAAAUCUCUUUAAUUUAUGCUUGGUGGUGCUAGGUGAAAUUUGGGUUUUAUAAAAAAUAUCCAAUUUAAUGGAUAAAUUAUGAUGAUAAUAUAUAAAAAUUGUACAUAUUUAACAUAAUGAUUGGAUAAACUCUGGAUACAAUGAUAUUUGAAUUAUUUGUCCCCACAAACUUAAAUCCUUUGUCAUUUGCUAUUUUUUUUACCAAAUAGAACUCUUUUAAAUUUUGUUAAGUGGUCAUUGUAUAUCAUUAUAAGUAUAUAUAAUUUGUGUAAAACCAUUAAUAAUAUUAUAAAUUGUUAAAUAUAAUAAUUGUUGAAAAAAAUAUAUAUUGUUUUGUUAUAGGUGGUUUAAAAAUUAAAUUUAUAGAAAAAAACAGUCAAACAUUUGGAAAGUAUUGCUGGUACUUGGCUAGCUAAAGUCAAAGAAAAAAUGAAAUAAGUACAACUUGUAAUUUAUAAUUAUUAUGUGUAAUAUAUUAUUACAUAUAAUUACAUUAAUUACAAACAUUUUUUUAAUUUUAAUAUUAAUGUUGAAUGAAAAGGACAGAUUUUUCUUUUUAUUAUAAAGAAUAUUUUAUAUUAUAUUUAUAAGUUUUAUUACAUUAAUUAGAACAAUGAACACAUUUGGUUUAGAUGGUUGUCAAAUAGUUUCAGUUAUUGAGCCUUCUCAAAAGUGAUACAAAUGAAAAAUAAAAUAUUAUUAAUCCUGUUUUAGUUAAUCAUAAACAAAUUG